rnacentral:rRNA from 1 species
AUUGAACGCUGGCGGCAGGCCUAACACAUGCAAGUCGAACGAGUGGCGGACGGGUGAGUAAUGUCUGGGAAACUGCCUGAUGGAGGGGGAUAACUACUGGAAACGGUAGCUAAUACCGCAUACCAUCGGAUGUGCCCAGAUGGGAUUAGCUAGUAGGUGGGGUAAAGGCUCACCUAGGCGACGAUCCCUAGCUGGUCUGAGAGGAUGACCAGCCACACUGGAACUGAGACACGGUCCAGACUCCUACGGGAGGCAGCAGUGGGGAAUAUUGCACAAUGGGCGCAAGCCUGAUGCAGCCAUGCCGCGUGGAUGAAGAAGGCCUUCGGGUUGUAAAGUACUUUUGGCGGGGAGGCGGUACCCGAAGAAGAAGCACCGGCUAACUCCGUGCCAGCAGCCGCGGUAAUAC